CUAGCCCAUCUCUGAACCAUCCUGAACUUUGCUCCCACUUACUCCUAAAUAUUGUAGGAAUGUGCUUCCUUUCAAGUUCCAGCAGCUUUUUCCGGAAGCAGAACUCGAAAGUGGACCCAGUUCCAGGAUCCCAUCCAGGAUGCCACACAGUUGUUACAUCUCUUUAGACUCCUCCUGACUGUGAUAAUUUCUCAGACUUUCCUUGUUUCUUGAUGACCUGGACGGUGCUGGUCAGGGUCCUUUCCCCAUCUGUCAUGCUGACUGAAGACAAGUUGCCAAGUUACGACCUGACCUGACAGCUCGAGAAAAGGAGUGCUGGGAGCGAUGGCAGGGAUCAGCUCCAUCUGACCC